rnacentral:rRNA from 1 species
UCCAGGCAAAUCCGGAUAAUCAAGGCUGAGGUGUGAUGACGAGGUACUACGGUGCUGAAGUAACAAAUGCCCUGCUUCCAGGAAAAGCCUCUAAGCAUCAGGUAACAUCAAAUCGUACCCCAAACCGACACAGGUGGUCAGGUAGAGAAUACCAAGGCGCUUGAGAGAACUCGGGUGAAGGAACUAGGCAAAAUGGUGCCGUAACUUCGGGAGAAGGCACGCUGGUGUGUAGGUGAAGUCCCUGCGGAUGGAGCUGAGACCAGUCGAAGAUACCAGCUGGCUGCAACUGUUUAUUAAAAACACAGCACUGUGCAAACACGAAAGUGGACGUAUACGGUGUGACGCCUGCCCGGUGCCGGAAGGUUAAUUGAUGGGGUUAUCCGUAAGGAGAAGCUCUUGAUCGAAGCCCCGGUAAACGGCGGCCGUAACUAUAACGGUCCUAAGGUAGCGAAAUUCCUUGUCGGGUAAGUUCCGACCUGCACGAAUGGCGUAAUGAUGGCCAGGCUGUCUCCACCCGAGACUCAGUGAAAUUGAACUCGCUGUGAAGAUGCAGUGUACCCGCGGCAAGACGGAAAGACCCCGUGAACCUUUACUAUAGCUUGACACUGAACAUUGAGCCUUGAUGUGUAGGAUAGGUGGGAGGCUUUGAAGCGUGGACGCCAGUCUGCGUGGAGCCAACCUUGAAAUACCACCCUUUAAUGUUUGAUGUUCUAACGUUGGCCCCUUAUCGGGGUUGCGGACAGUGUCUGGUGGGUAGUUUGACUGGGGCGGUCUCCUCCCAAAGCGUAACGGAGGAGCACGAAGGUUAGCUAAUCCUGGUCGGACAUCAGGAGGUUAGUGCAAUGGCAUAAGCUAGCUUGACUGCGAGCGUGACGGCGCGAGCAGGUGCGAAAGCAGGUCAUAGUGAUCCGGUGGUUCUGAAUGGAAGGGCCAUCGCUCAACGGAUAAAAGGUACUCCGGGGAUAACAGGCUGAUACCGCCCAAGAGUUCAUAUCGACGGCGGUGUUUGGCACCUCGAUGUCGGCUCAUCACAUCCUGGGGCUGAAGUAGGUCCCAAGGGUAUGGCUGUUCGCCAUUUAAAGUGGUACGCGAGCUGGGUUUAGAACGUCGUGAGACAGUUCGGUCCCUAUCUGCCGUGGGCGCUGGAGAAUUGAGGGGGGCUGCUCCUAGUACGAGAGGACCGGAGUGGACGCAUCACUGGUGUUCGGGUUGUCAUGCCAAUGGCACUGCCCGGUAGCUAAAUGCGGAAGAGAUAAGUGCUGAAAGCAUCUAAGCACGAAACUUGCCCCGAGAUGAGUUCUCCCUGAGACUUUAAGUCUCCUGAAGGAACGUUAAAGACGAUGACGUUGAUAGGCCGGGUGUGUAAGCGCAGCGAUGCGUUGAGCUAACCGGUACUAAUGAACCGUGAGGCUUAACC